AGCUGGGGGAGAAGCCUCAGGGUGGGGAGAAGCCCCACAAGUGCUUGGAAUGUGGGAAGGGCUUCAGCUACAACUCCUGCCUGAUCCGGCACCAGAGGAUCCAUACUGGGGAACGGCCCUACGAGUGUGAGGAGUGUGGGAAGAGCUUCUCCAGCAGCUC